rnacentral:sRNA from 1 species
ACACAGGUCGCUGCGGCCCACGGUCGAG